CGCCUGUUUAUCAAAAACAUCUUUUCUUGUUAGUUUUUGAAGUAUGGCCUGCCCGCUGAUUUUAGGUUGAAGGGCCGCGGUAUUUUGACCGUGCAAAGGUAGCAUAAUCAUUAGUUCUUUAAUUGUGAUCUGGUAUGAAUGGCUUGACGAGGCAUGGGCUGUCUUGGAUUGGGAUUGUUUAUUGAAUUUGGUUUUUGAGUUAGAAUUCUUAAAUGUUUUUAUGGGACGAGAAGACCCUAUAGAGUUUAACAUUUAUUUGUAUAGCUUGUUUUGGUUUGUUUUGUAGUUGCUUUGUGUUAAUGUUUUGUUGGGGUGAUGGGAAGAAUUUUCUUAACUCUUCUUUGUUUUGGUAUAUUGAUUUAUAUUGGUUUUGAUCCAUUUAUUUUGAUUAUAAGAUUAAAUUACCUUAGGGAUAACAGCGUAAA
rnacentral:rRNA from 1 species